CGUUCGGGUCUCCAAGGGCUACACCAAAUCCCGGACGAGCCUCCAAAUGAAAGAGCCCCAAACCUGGGGAGACUCUCGCUCCAGUCACGGGUUGGGGAGCCCCAGGAAACAUGAGUAGCC
rnacentral:pre_miRNA from 14 species